rnacentral:lncRNA from 1 species
UAUAAUUCCAACUUCAGCACCCUGUGAUUUGAUCAGUAAUUUUUAUCGUCAUUUCAGGAUGAAGAUGACGUAUUACCCGAUGGAACGGUGAUAGAAACGAAAGUGGUAUAUGCAAUCUACGGAAUGGGAAGAAUAGAAUCCAUUUGGGGAAAAGAUUGCAGGGAAUAUAAACCAGAGAGAAGGCCAAGAGAUGGCAAUUACAUGAGCGAGUCAGCUUACAAGUUCUCCGCCUUCAACGGCGGUCCUCGCCUCUGUUUAGGCAAAGAUUUCGCUUUUUACCGGAUGAAGUUCACCGCCGCCUCCAUCCUAUACUGCUAUACCGUGAAGGGGGUGAAAGGUCAUCCUGUUGCACCUAAAGGCUAAACUUGCUUUGAUGAUUUUCUUUUAUUGAAGGUUUAUUUACAAAAUUAACCCCAAAACUAAGUUGCUUUAUUCCCUAUCAAUUAUGAAUUAAGAACAUGGCGCAUGUCAUGUUCUCAUUGGCCAGAAUUGGGUUUUAAAGUAAAAUAAUGCAAAAUUAAAAGUUUAGAUAUUUAGAGGAUCAAUUUUACAUAAACUUUUAUAACUGUUCAACUCUGUAUCUCUGUUUUUUAGAGAUUUGAAGAUACUAAGAAGAUUAUGAUGAAUAGAACUAUCUUCAAUAUCUUUUUACAUACAAGAGAAAAGAAAAGAAAAAACUUUCCUAACCUCCUAACUGACUCACUAAUUCUUUACACAAAGUAUAAAGACAUCAACUCAUUUUAAAUUUAGAUUAUUACUACUUUUUCUUAUAAAAUUAUUUUACGCUUUUUGAAGCCGUUCCUUCUAACAAUAUUGUUUUCAUUGUCCAUUACAUCCCACUCUUCUUGUUAUUAGAUUUUAAGUUGCUUUUAAACUACUUGCUGGAGUUGGAUAGACUCUUGUUGAUCCUUUACCAUCUUUUCAACAAGCCCACAUGUAGGGGUGUUCAGCCGGUUAACCGACCCAAAAUAACAUUAACCGAAUUAACCAACCUUUCAAACUUUUUAACCGUUAACCAAACUAAUUUAAAAAAAAAUUUAACCGAACGGAAUUUUUUCAAUUAAUUCGGUCGGUUAACCGAAUUAACCGAAAACUAUAUAUUUUUUUAUUUUUGGUUAAAAAUUAACCAAAUUAAUCGAAUUAACCGAAUUACCCGGAUUAAUCGAAUUACCCACAUUAACUGAAAAUUAUAUGUUUUUUAUUUUAAUUUAUUAAAUUAUUUGUAAUUUUUAUGAUUAGGUUGGGUUGAGUAAUUGGGUUGGGUCGGAUACUUGGGUUUAGAUUGGGUUUAAGUGAAUAGUGGGUCUAUUUAUAUAUUAUAAUUUUAUUUAUUAAUUUUUUCAGUUAAACCGAAGAAAUUAGGUUAACCGAUUAGUUUUGAACCGAAUUAACCAUUAACCGAAAAAUCAAAAAAUAAUUAACCAACCCCAACCAAAAAAAUUUAGUUAACUGACCGAUUAACCAAAUUCAACCGAUUAACUAAAUUUUUUCAAUUUUAUCCGAAUUUUGCAUACCCCUAUCGAAUUGCAUGCCAAUAAAAGGCAUAGGCAUACCUUAUAAAAAAAACGCAGUGUCUUUCGCUAUGCAAAAUCAGCUUAAUUUUCCUAUCAUCUCAAAACCAUGACGAUCAACCCUAAUACCAACCUAAAUUCCUCCGACAACGAUGACAAUUUUGCCGGAAUAUUUGUUUCUCGGUGGUUGUUUUUCUUACAUCUUCAUAUCGUAGAGCUUAUCCUUGCCCUUAUAGUCUUCAUUGCUAUACAUUACUUGAGGCAGAAACGACGUUGAUAUCCGGUCUCCGGUCCGAUCUUUUUGAGCUGAUUUCCCACGUAGUUUGCCAGCAGAAUGGAACUUUUUUGUUUAUAGGUCCAUGGUUUAGUAGCCUAAGUUUCGUGGUCACUGCCGAUCCUAGGAAUCUUGAGCAUGUUUUCAAGACCAAGUUCUCCGUUUACCCCAAAGGACCUUCUUUUCGCGAAAAUGUUGGCGACCUCCUCGGCGACGGGUUAUUCAGUGCCGACGACGAAACUUGGCGACGUCAGAGGAAAGCGGCGAGCACCGAGUUUCAUUCGGCUAAGUUCCGGCGGUUAACCACCGAGUCAUCGGUGGAGCUCGUCCACGCUAGGCUGUUAUCUGUCUUAGAAAAUGCCACAAACAAAUCGAUCCCCAUAGAACUCCAAGAUAUCCUAUUGAGAUUAACGCUCAAUAACAUUUGCAUUAUAGCCCUUGGGGGUCGACCCUGGGUGCUUAAUCCCCGAGUUGCCCAACAUACCGUUCGCUAAAGCGCUCGAGGACGCGACGGAGGUGACGGCGCUCAGGUUUGUGACCCCGACAUGGGUGUGGAAAACCAUGAAGUGCCUUGAUUUGGGGUCGGAAAAGAAGCUGAAAAAGUUGAUAAAGGACGUCGAUGAAUUCGCCAAGAAAGUUAUCGAAACGAGGAAGAAGGAGCUGUCAGUGUCACUACGGCAAGGAUCAGAUUUGUUGACGGUGUUUAUGGCGUCCAAAGACGAGGAGGGGAAGCCAUUUUCCGAUAAGUUUUUGCGAGAUAUCUGCGUGAACUUCAUACUGGCCAGCAGAGAUACUUCGGCGGUGGCGUUGAGCUGGUUUUUUUUGGUUGGUAGGAAAGAACCCGAGGGUGGAAGAAAAAAUUGUAGCAGAGAUUAGCGGGAUUGUUAAGGAAAGGGAAGAGAUAAAAAAUGGCGAAUUGAUAUUUAAAGCGGAGGAGAUAAAGAAGAUGGAUUACUUACAAGCUGCAUUAUCAGAGGCUCUCAGAUUGUAUCCUUCUGUACCUGUUGAUCUGAAGGAGGUAAUUCUUUUUCCCGAAUCCGGUACACCAUGUUUGCUUCAUACCCAGUUUUUUCUUAAAUUAAAUACUAAAAUUAUAUGCAUUAACCAUUUUCCUUUAAUUAUAAACUUUAACAUUUUCGAUAUAGUUUUGAUUAUCAUCACUUUUUUAUUGGGUUGAAUGAAUUUCUGGGUUUUAAAUUAGAUUUUUUAGGUAGUAGUAUUUUGGAUUUUGGUGACACCUGAUUUGUUGGAGUAGCUGAGAAGCAAUUAAAUUACUAUGGAUUGAUUGAUACCAACUUAUUCACUCGCUUCUAUCAAAAUUAUUUGUUUAAACCAACUCAAUCAUAUUUUUAUUAUUUUAUAUUUAAUAAACCUUUUGGUAAGCUGAUGUCACGAAAUAGGUGUAUUUAAUAUUAUUUUUAAGAAAUAUUUUUGAGAUCCUUUUACAGAAAAAGUGCUUCUCUAAGUUAAAAAUAGACUCCAAAGCAUUUUUAAGAAGAAUUCUUAAACUAAGCUUUAAUAGACUAUUAAUCUAAUUAAGGACACCAACUCAGUUAUGAAAUUUAUGAAAAUAUUCUUUUGUAAUUAAAAUAAAUUAUAUUAUUUAUGGGUAUUUUAGUAUUUUUAUUUUAAAAAAACAAUAAAAAUAUGAAUAUUAUGGGAUUUAAACUGCAUCAAUCGGAUUAAUAAAUCUUAAAAUUUAACACUCAAUAAAAAUUUCAUUUUAAUGUAUUUUAAAUUUAUUUUAAUAUAUACAAUUUAUUAUCUCUAUCAGCUAUAUAUAUUAAUAAUGCAUUUGAUUGAGUUUGUAACUUAGUGUGAGUUUGGAUGAGCGGUGCAUUUUCUUGUUAUUAGUGUAAAAACAACGGUGGCAAUGAGAUUAGAUAUUCUAGCGUAAGACAAAGAGUAAUGUAAACGCACCGCAAGGCCUAUUGAUUGAACAUUAUAAUGAAAUUAGAUAUUGUACCAUAUUUCCUGUGUUAUUAAUUAGUUUCAAAUUAUUUUUAAAUACAUUUGUGUUCUAAAGUAUAUACACUUUUUGGGCAGAGGUAAAAUUAUAAGUUUAGCACCCUGUGAUUUGCUCAGUAAUUUUUAUCUUUAUUCAGGUUGUUGAAGACGACGUAUUACCCGAUGGAACGGUGAUAAAGACAGGAACGAAAGUAAUAUAUGCAAUCUACGCAAUGGGAAGAAUAGAAUCCAUUUGGAGAAAAGAUUGCAGAGAAUAUAAACCUGAGAGAUGGCUAAGAGAUGGCAAUUACAUGAGCGAGUCAGCUUACAAGUUCUUCACCUUCAACAGCGGUCCUCGCCUCUGUUAGGCAAAGAUUUCGCUUUUUACCAGAUGAAGUUCACUGCCGCCUCCAUCCUAUACCGCUACACCGUGAAAGGUCAUCCUGUUGCACCCAAGAUUGCUUUGAC